rnacentral:rRNA from 1 species
UUGUAGGAAUGUAAAGUUUUAAUAGAAUUACACAAUUGUGUAAUUUUCUAUAUAAAACGAAUAUUAAAGAUGUAAAGUUCUAAAUAAAAGACUUAAAUAGACAAAUUUUUAUUUACAAGUCUUGACCAAAUCACGUGCCAGCAGUCGCGGUAAGACGUGAAAGACUAGUGUUAUUCAUCAUUAUUAGGUUUAAAGGGUACGCAGAUAGUUAAUUUAUCCUAAACCAGGUAAAAAUUAACUAGAGUUUAAUAUGAGAAGGUGGAACUUUUGGUAAAGUGAUAAAAUACUCCGAAACUAAAAGGACUGGUAACGGCGAAGGCAAUCUUCUAUGUAAAAACUGACAUCAAGGGACGAAGGCUUGGGUAACGAUCAGGAUUAGAUACCCUAAUAGUCCAAGCAGAAAAUUAUGAGUGUCAUAGACUAGUGCACCUAGAAUAUAAAUAAAAGUGCUUUUAAUUAAAAAUAAUUAAAAGCGCUUUUAUUUAAUUAAAAAUAAUUAAAUGAAAGCACUUUUAUUUAUAUAAGUCUAGUCUAUAAAUGAAAAUGUAAGCACUUCACCUUAAGAGUAAUGUGGCAACGCAGAAACUUAAAUCAUUAGACCGUUUCUGAAACCAGUAGUGAAGUAUGUUGUUUAAUUCGAUGACCCGCGAAAAACCUUACCACAAUUUGUAUAUUAUUUAAUUAAUACAGGUGCUGCACGGCUGUCUUUAGUUAAUAUCGUGAGAUUUUGGUUAGUUCCAUUAAUUAACGUAAACCCUUGUUUUAUUUUUAAAUAAAAUAGCUCUGCUAAUAUUUAAUUAGUAAGUUAACAGGGAUCAAGACAAGUCAUCAUGG